AUGCCAGGUGGGGCCCACACGUCGUUCUUCUUCCUCCUCUCUGUAUCUUUCUUUGGCAUUUUACCAAACACCUCAUGUGCAUCAUCCUAUGCUGCUUUCAGCCGGCGACCUGCCGCUCGUCGCGUGCAGCUUACACCACAGGGGCCACGGCUAGUCGGCAGCUUACACCACGUCCUGCUGUCGUGCUACGGCGACCUACCGCACCGGGCGCUGCGUGAGCUCGCCGGCAGGCACGGCCCUCUCAUGUUGCUUCGCUUCGGCGCGGUGCCCACGCUGGUCAUGUCCUCCGCCGAGGCGGCCAGGGAGCCGCGGUGGGCACGACAUCCUCUUCCCCCCUACGACGACCUGUGGCGCCAGCUCCGCCGGGUGUGCGUCCUCGAGCUCUUCAGCGCGUGCCGCGUCCAGUCCUUCCGCCACAUCCGCGAGGACGAGGCCGCCUGCCUGCUCCGCUCCGUCUCCGAGGAGUUCGCUCGCUCCGGCGACGCCGGCGCCGUCGUUGAGAGCGGCGAGGGGAUGUCCCGCAUGAUAAACAACGUCGUGGUGCGCUCGGCCGUCGGCAACCGCUGCCCGCGGCGCGACGAGUUCCUGCGUGAGAUCGAUGAGUCGGUGAAAUACAGAGAUACGGAGUUCCUGCGUGAGAUACAGAGAGGAGGAAGAAGAACGAUAUCUUGUCCUAACAAUCCUUCCUUCCAACCUCCUUCUCCUACGAUCGCCCAAAGUUCUACAACACCAGCACAAGUGGAUGAGUCUUUAUAUCAUACCCAAAUCACAUAUCUAUCUAAAGGAAAAGCAAAAGGAAGAAAAAGAAACAUGGAGAAGAAGCUGCUUCGGGUCAGUGCAAGAAAUAUAACUACCACAUCUAGGGCUAAAGAAGUCGUAAAAGUGCUGAAAAAUUCAGGUCAAGGGAAUGAACAUGUGCAGUUGGUUAAAAAUUCAAUUAAUGUAACUUAUGAGGAUCAGCAUCUAAUUGCAGAACCAAUAAUAAGCAACCAUACGCAAGUAGAAGAAGAACAUCAAGUUGAAGAAGAAGAUGAACAUGAAGCAGAUGAGUAUAAUUCUGAAUGCAACAGUGAUCAAAAUGAAACUGAUCCAGAGCAACAUUACCUACAAUGCAGUAGUGAUCAAAAUGAAACUAAUGCAGAGGAAGAUUACCUGGAAGAAAAUACAAUAAGUUGUGAUCAGUUCUGUGCAGAUCACGGGGAUUCAGAAUUGCACCAAAUAGAGCAGAGUUGGAACAAUUUUGAUUCAGUUAUUGAGCAAGAAAUGAUAAUAACUGAAAAAGAAGUAUUAGCACAUAGCAAUGAGGGAGCAUUGCAAGGUCCUGAUUACGCAGAAACAACAGAUACAGAUGGCACAAGUGGGAGUGAUGAAUCAGAGUUUGAAACAGAGCAACAACAAGAUGGAGAAACAGAAAAAAAACAAUUGUCACCUUGA
rnacentral:rRNA from 1 species